GUUGGCGGGGCAACGGCCCACCAAGGCGACGAUGCGUAGGGGUUCUGAGAGGAAGGUCCCCCACACUGGUACUGAGACACGGACCAGACUCCUACGGGAGGCAGCAGUGAGGAAUAUUGGUCAAUGGGCGCAGGCCUGAACCAGCCAAGUCGCGUGAGGGAAGACGGUCCUACGGAUUGUAAACCUCUUUUGUCGGGGAGUAACGUGCGGAACGCGUCCUGUAUUGAGAGUACCCGAAGAAAAAGCAUCGGCUAACUCCGUGCCAGCAGCCGCGGUAAUACGGAGGAUGCGAGCGUUAUCCGGAUUUAUUGGGUUUAAAGGGUGCGCAGGCGGCGCGCCAAGUCAGCGGUCAAAGUUCCGGGCUCAACCCGGUGUCGCCGUUGAAACUGGCGUGCUCGAGUGCGUGCGAGGAAGGCGGAAUGCGUUGUGUAGCGGUGAAAUGCAUAGAUAUGACGCAGAACUCCGAUUGCGAAGGCAGCUUUCCAGCGCGCUACUGACGCUGAGGCACGAAAGCGUGGGGAUCGAACAGGAUUAGAUACCCUGGUAGUCCACGCAGUAAACGAUGACUACUAGCUUUCCGGGGCGACUGGGUCCUGGGAGGCACAGCGAAAGCGUUAAGUAGUCCACCUGGGGAGUAC
rnacentral:rRNA from 1 species